rnacentral:rRNA from 1 species
UACGUAGGUGACAAGCGUUGUCCGGAUUUACUGGGCGUAAAGAGCGCGCAGGCGGUCGUUCAAGUCGAGUGUGAAAGCCCCCGGCUCAACUGGGGAGGGUCAUUCGAUACUGAUCGACUCGAAGGCAGGAGAGGGAAGUGGAAUUCCCGGUGUAGUGGUGAAAUGCGUAGAUAUCGGGAGGAACACCAGUGGCGAAGGCGGCUCUCUGGAACGCAACUGACGCUGAGACGCGAAAGCGUGGGGAGCAAACAGG